rnacentral:rRNA from 1 species
GAUGAACGCUGGCGGCGUGCCUAAUACAUGCAAGUCGAGCGAACAGACGAGGAGCUUGCUCCUCUGACGUUAGCGGCGGACGGGUGAGUAACACGUGGAUAACCUACCUAUAAGACUUGGAUAACUUCGGGAAACCGGAGCUAAUACCGGAUAAUAUAUUGAACCGCAUGGUUCAAUAGUGAAAGACGGUUUUGCUGUCACUUAUAGAUGGAUCCGCGCCGCAUUAGCUAGUUGGUAAGGUAACGGCUUACCAAGGCAACGAUGCGUAGCCGACCUGAGAGGGUGAUCGGCCACACUGGAACUGAGACACGGUCCAGACUCCUACGGGAGGCAGCAGUAGGGAAUCUUACGCAAUGGGCGAAAGCCUGACGGAGCAACGCCGCGUGAGUGAUGAAGGUCUUAGGAUCGUAAAACUCUGUUAUUAGGGAAGAACAAAUGUGUAAGUAACUAUGAACGUCUUGACGGUACCUAAUCAGAAAGCCACGGCUAACUACGUG